rnacentral:lncRNA from 10 species
GAGACUUACGUGUCAGCUGCCGCGCCUAGGGCCACGAGCCUAGGAGGGUCUCGCAGGCUGCUGACCUCUGCCGACCCCCGGCGACUCGCCUCCGACCCUGGGCUGGGGGAAGGGGGUCUGCGGCGUCGGCAGAUCUGGGCGUGUUUAGACUAGUUUCAGAGGCUGCUGCGGUCGUUUAGGAUGAGAUGUUUAAUGUACCAUAUUAAUGGAGUAAAGGAGUAAAGGAAGAAACAAAUGGAGUAAAGGAAGAAACAAAACCACCUGAUCACUUCAAAACACAGAAAAAGCAUUUGACAAAAUCCAAUACCCUUUGGCGAUUAAAAGACUCAAACUAGAAAUAAAAGUGAACUGCUGGCAUAGUGCAGUGGCUCAUGCCUGUAAUCCCAGCACUUUGGGAGGCCGAGGUAGGAGGAUUGCUUGAGGCCAGGAGUCUCUGUGACUGAGGGCUUCCCACACAUUUGCUUGUAUGGUUCCUAGGUUAAACCUUUUAGUGGCACCUCAUUACCAUUCAGAUAAUCCAUGCUCAAUGACAUGGAAUAUAGAGUUCUCCAGUUCCUAAACUGUUCAUGCCCUAUGACUGGGCCCUCAGUCCACUGGACAGACUUUUUUUCAAGACCAAAUUGGUGUUUCCCUUUGGAUCCUUCCCUGUCCAGCAAGUUAAGUGCUUUCAUCAGCCUUUGUGUGAAUGGUAAUGAGGUAUCACUAAAAGGUUUUAAGCAAAUGUGUGUUCAGGGAGCCCUCAGUCAGGGGGACUCCUGGCCUCAACCCCACAGAAUCUUUUAACAGGCCCUGGGCUGACUGUAAUAGGGUGCCAUCUUCUUUUUUUUUUAACACGGAGUUUCGCUCUUGUUGCCUAGGCUGGAGUGCAAUGGCGCGAUCUUCGCUCACCGCAACCUCCG